CUUUUGACGACUUUGGAGGUCGUCAACCUCCAGUUUAUCCUGGUUUGUCCACUGUGUGGGGAAGCUUGGCUCGUAGUAAGGCCAAAGGCUACCGAGUUGGGCCAGUAUAUGAUGAUGUUUUGGCAAUGGCUUGGUUUUUUCUUGAGCUAAUUGUGAAGUCAAUGGCAUUGGAGCAAACUCGCCUUUUCUAUCAUAGUCUUCCGCUAGGUGAAGAUGUUCCACCAAUGCAAUUAAAAGAAGGUGUUUUCAGAUGCAUAAUGCAAUUGUAUGAUUGCCUUCUAACAGAAGUGCAUGAGCGUUGUAAGAAGGGUUCAAGUUUGGCAAAACGCUUGAAUAGUAGUUUGGCCUUCUUUUGUUAUGAUCUUUUGUCUAUCAUUGAACCUCGGCAAGUUUUUGAAUUGGUGUCCUUGUACUUAGACAAAUUUUCUGGGGUAUGUCAAUCGGUUCUCCACGAAUGUAAGCUAACCUUUCUUCAAAUUGUGUGUGAUCAUGAUCUUUUUGUGGAAAUGCCUGGGAGAGACCCUUCAGAUAGAAACUACCUUUCAUCUGUUUUAAUACAAGAGCUUUUCCUUACUUGGGAUCAUGAUGAUCUAUCUCAGCGAUCAAAGGCAGCAAGAAUGUUAGUAGUUAUCUUAUGCAAGCAUGAGUUUGAUGCUCGUUACCAAAAGCCUGAAGAUAAAUUAUAUAUUGCACAGCUAUAUUUUCCUCUUAUUGGCCAGAUCCUAGAUGAGAUGCCUGUCUUCUAUAAUCUGAAUGCCGUUGAAAAGCGCGAAGUUUUAAUUGUUAUUCUGCAAAUUGUGCGCAAUCUGGAUGAGACAUCACUUGUCAAGGCAUGGCAGCAAAGCAUUGCACGAACUAGAUUGUUCUUCAAACUUAUGGAGGAAUGCCUUGUUCUUUUUGAGCACAGAAAACCUGCAGAUGGCAUGCUCAUGGGCUCUAGUUCUCGCAGCCCAGUCACAGAUGGACCUUCUUCCCCCAAGUACUCUGAUAGGCUUUCUCCUGCAAUAAACAACUAUCUGUCUGAGGCAUCACGGCAAGAAGUUAGGACUCAGGGAACACCUGAUAAUGGAUAUUUGUGGCAGAGAGUGAAUUCCCAGAGCCAUAUUCCUUGAGAGAAGCUCUUGCUCAGGCACAAUCUUCAAGAAUUGGAGCUUCAGCCCAAGCACUUAGAGAAUCUUUGCAUCCUAUAUUGAGACAAAAGCUGGAGCUUUGGGAAGAAAACCUGAGUGCAGCUGUGAGUCUUCAGGUGCUGGAGAUAUCUGAAAAAUUUUCCAUGAUGGCAGCAUCCCAUAGCAUUGCUACUGAUUAUGGAAAACUUGACUGCAUUACAGCCAUGUUUAUGAGUUUCUUUUCUCGAAAUCAGCCACUGGCUUUCUGGAAAGCUCUUUUUCCUGUCUUCUACAGUGUAUUUGAUCAUCAUGGGGCAACACUAAUGGCAAGGGAAAAUGAUCGCUUUCUAAAGCAGGUUGCUUUCCAUCUUCUACGGCUUGCUGUUUUCAGAAAUGAAAGCAUCAGGAAAAGAGCUGUUAUUGGGCUCCAGAUACUAGUGAGGAGCUCUUUCUUUAUGCAAACAGCAAGAUUGCGGGUCAUGCUGACUAUCACGUUGUCAGAGCUGAUGUCUGAUGUGCAAGUGACUCAGAUGAAAUCUGAUGGAACACUGGAAGAGAGUGGUGAAGCAAGACGCCUUCGCAGGUCUUUGGAGGAAAUGGCAGAUGAAUAUAAGAGCACCAACUUAUUAAGGGAAUGUGGACUGCCUGAAAAUGCAUUGGUGGCAAUUUUGGAAAGGUCUGCAGAAAAUCGAUGGUCCUGGUCGGAGGUGAAAUAUCUCUCUGACAAUCUAAUCCUGGCCCUUGAUGCUAGCCUGGAACAUGCACUUCUGGCUUCUGUGAUGACUAUCGAUAGAUAUGCGGCUGCAGAGAGCUACUAUAAACUUGCUAUGGCAUUUGCACCUGUUCCUGACCUUCACAUAAUGUGGUUGUUGCAUUUAUGUGAUGCUCAUCAGGAAAUGCAGUCCUGGGCAGAAGCUGCACAGUGUGCUGUGGCUGUUGCCGGUGUUGUAAUGCAGGCCCUUGUGGCUAGAAAUGACGGUGUCUGGAGCAAAGAUCAUGUAACUGCUCUACGUAAAAUUUGCCCAAUGGUCAGCAGUGAGAUCUCGUCUGAGGCAUCUGCAGCAGAGGUGGAGGGAUAUGGUGCAUCUAAGCUGACUGUUGACUCUGCUGUAAAAUAUCUACAGCUUGCAAAUAAGCUUUUCUCUCAAGCUGAGCUCUUUCAUUUCUGUGCAAGCAUUCUGGAACUUGUAAUUCCAGUUUAUAAAAGCAGGAGGGCAUAUGGGCAGUUGGCUAAAUGUCAUACAUUGCUCACUAAUAUCUAUGAAUCAAUUCUUGAGCAGGAAUCAAGCCCAAUUCCAUUCACUGAUGCCACAUACUAUAGGGUGGGAUUUUAUGGUGAAAGAUUUGGGAAGCUGGACAAGAAAGAAUAUGUAUACCGAGAACCCCGAGAUGUACGUCUAGGUGACAUAAUGGAGAAAUUAAGUCAUAUAUAUGAAUCUAGGAUGGAUGGGAAUCACACUUUGCAUAUUAUCCCUGAUUCUAGACAAGUUAAGGCAGAUGAAUUGCAGCCUGGAGUCUGCUACUUGCAGAUAACUGCUGUUGAUCCAGUGAUGGAAGAUGAAGAUUUAGGAAGUCGAAGGGAAAGAAUUUUCUCUCUUUCCACUGGAAGCGUCCGUGCACGAGUCUUUGACCGGUUCUUGUUUGACACCCCAUUUACAAAAAAUGGUAAGACCCAAGGUGGCUUGGAAGACCAAUGGAAGAGGCGGACUGUUCUUGAGACUGAAGGUUCUUUCCCUGCCCUUGUGAAUAGGCUUUUGGUAAUCAAAUCUGAAUCUAUUGAGUUCUCCCCAGUAGAGAAUGCAAUUGGGAUGAUUGAAACUCGGACAGCUGCCUUAAGAAACGAGCUUGAGGAGCCUCGUAGUUCUGAAGGGGAUCAACUCCCUCGCCUCCAGAGUUUGCAGAGAAUUCUUCAGGGCAGUGUUGCAG
rnacentral:misc_RNA from 1 species